UGCCAGGGCCCUUAGUGACACAGGCAGUCCUCUCUGCCAGCACUCAUUUUCACAUCCCAGUCUUUUCUACAUUCCUUUUGUCAUCCUUUACAAUGUCUAGACCACCUCCCACUGAAAGAAGUGAGAAGCGGCUCUGUGCACAGAGGCUGCUAUGAGCUGUGUGGGGCCAGUGCAGAGUGUCUUAGGAUAGCGACUGUAUUCAACUUCAGCACAGGAGACACUCCAGAGAUGCUAGCAGCAGGGACAUGCACCAGCAAGUAAAGAUUCAUACUGCUACUAAACCCCACUGGGAAGUACUAUUAUCUGUUGACUAAGAAGAGAAACCAGCUUACCCCUUCCACCAGGCAAAGAUGAUGCGGCCCAACAUGCCAGUUGAAUCUGGGGAUGAGAAGAAUGUGUCGCUUUUCCCCAGGACAACCUGCACAGGGAUGGCACUGCCCAGUGACCUGGGCCCUUCCACAUCAACCGCCUAUUAAGAAAGUUCCCUACAGGCUCAGACCAUUCUAUGGAGGCAUGUUCUCAACUGAGGUUCCCUUGUCUCAGGUGACCUUAGCUUAUUUCAAGUUGACAAGAAACUAACAAAAACCACCAAGCAAAACUCACCAACCAACCAGGACAACGCAUGUCUGGAAAUGAUUACAUCAUACAUUCCAAAGCCAUCAUGUACAUUAGUGCACACCUAUAAUUCCAAGUAAAGACAUGGGGGGGGGGGUUAUAUCCAGUGAUACAUGGAAAUCUAGGCUAGCCUGGGCUACAGAAGAUCCUGUGUCCAAAAGAAAACAAACAAAAAUCCCAAGGGUACUUUUUAUACAGUACUCUGCUUAUAAACAUCUCACCCUUGAGGGAAACAAGCUUGUAAAACCCUUUCUAAUUAAGAGGUCGUCUUUUAACACUGGUAACAGGUUCUCAAGUGCAUGUACUUUCGUACCUUGAAGUGGCCUCAGCUUUUCUUAAAAACCCAUUAGACAUAGAUAAGCAUUAUGCUGGCGAUGAGAAUGGGAGGCUUAGAAAUGACACUGAAAAAACCCAAUUACUGACCCAGUCUUCAAUCGAAGUUUUGAAACUGGCUAAAGGAGAGCAAUGGACAAGAUCGCAUUAAACACAGUGUGAAGCUGUGAAAAGGA